CUUUGGUGUUUCAUAGCCAGUGCUGUCAGACAGAGUUGUCUCGACUACAGAACAAGGCUGGAUAGAUGUUUUAGCUUAGUCACUGUGAGCUGUUUAAUUGCCUAAUUAACAUGCUGAUUUGAAAGCUCAUUUAGUAGAUUUACAGGUGUCUCCAAUAUUUGUAACUCCAGGUUUGCUCUUUGUCACUUCUGGUUGUUUUACAUAUGCAAAAUUUAACUGAAUUAAUUUUGGUUUACAUCACAGUAAGUGUCUCAUUUAAGAAGAAAGGAGAUGCAUGCACAUUUUUUCAUGGCUAAUAUAAGUAAAUUGCUUUUCUGGAGCAUCUGGGAGCAUUCUAUCUUCUCAAAUCUUUCCCAGAGCCAGACUAGUGCACGUAGCCAUGAUUCUGUUGGUAAUGAAAUUGAUCCAAGCAGUGUCUAGCUCUGUUCAUUGUUUCCUCAUAAUGCCCUUUAUUAUGGCAGCAUCACUUCUGUAGAGCACAACAGAGGAGGAGGCGGUGUUACAUGCACAAUUUUGCUUACGGGAAAAGAGGAAGCACAUUGCAUAGCCAACAGUUGCCCAGCCAACAGGAGCAGGGACCUGAUCCAGCUGAUCCCACCAUGGUGAGGGACCCCACUGAGCCAAGUUCCUGACCUUGCCUCCAGCCUGGCUGAUCACAGACAAUGCAGAUGGGACCAAGGACAUGGGCAGUGUUGGACUGCUUGUUCUGGCAAGCUCUUGAACUGCUGUGACACUCCAACUAGAGAUUAGCAAGAAGCUGUUUAGGAUGGCUUUUUAGCUAAUGCACAUGGAAGUUUAUGGUCA